rnacentral:lncRNA from 1 species
CUCCAAACAGAGGAGUAGCAAAAUGGGAGGAAGGUGCUGUGACUAAAUGAAGGAAGGCUGAGGGGUUAAAAUCAUUGCUGGGUGAUUUCACCACUACUGCCCCAUAUUCAUACUCUCGGUAAAUGAAUGAGGAGAGCCCCAUGUGGGAUUACAAACUUGCUGGAAAUGGAUGAGAAACCUUCUGCUCUGCUGGAGUUUAUCUUGAGUGUGCCUUAAAAUUCCAUUUCAUGGAGAACUGUGCGUGGUUGAAUUUUGAUUGAUUACUCAAUUAACUGAUGUAUUGGUAGAGUGAUUAAGAAAGAAGACUUUGGGAUCAGACCAACCUGGUUUUGAAUUCAAGCUCAGCAACUUACUAGGUAAGGAGGAGAAAAGAAAGAAGGAAAAAUUGGAAAGAUAAAUGGGGUCUUUCCAGUGAAGCCUCCAGGCCUCCAGACUGGAACUUAUACCACUGAUUCUUCUGAAUCUUAGGCCUUUGGACUUGGACUGGAACUAAACCAUCAGCUCUUCUUGUUCUACCACUUGCAGACUGUAUGUCUUGGGACAUGUCAGCCUCUGUAAUCACGCUCAAUUUUCCUACAUAAUUAAGAGUUUGGAAUUCGGGCAAUAUCAAGAACCACAUCUGUCCUGAAAUCAAUUAUCUCUGUUUGAAACACAAGAAAUAAGAAGACCAUUUUGAGAAGAACAGAGAGUAGCCUUAAGAAAAUCCCUGUCGCAAGCACUCUGGGAUUUGGACUCAAAUGCUAAUUAUACAGAACCACUUGGGUGCCCAGCUGCUGUCCAUUCUCUACACUUAUCCCACCUGAUGGAAGGCUGUUAAGAAAAACAUCACUGCAAUGCCUAAUAAACAGACAUGGGUCCCAGACCCAAUAAGAGUGAAACCAUCCCCCUAUUUAAAUGAAAUUAUGGCUGAUGAGAAAGACAAAUUAAUUUCUCUGUCCCUAGUAUUACACAAAACUUUGGAUGCUGCCAUUGUUACAAUUUUAUUUUCCCCAGGAGCUCAGAGUCCCACCUUCAUUCUUUUUGUUUAAUGCUUAAGCUUGCCUGUCCACCUAUGGAAGACUAGAAUGAGCAAAGACCAUGUAUUCAAUGAUCUGUAAAUCUAACAGGAAACAAUAUAAUAAAUAUAUUGUGUUUGCUAACCAAA